CCCUCUGUUUAAGACUGACUGUCAUCGAUCAGGACUGAAAACAGCAGCUCUGGUCUGUUCUCUCUCAAUCCUAGCAAAGAUGACUGCAAACGCUCUGAUGAUCUGCUCUCUACUGCUUUGUCUUGCUGGUUGUUCUGCUGAGAUCAUUCUGACUCAGAGUCCGUCGGUGGAUUCGGUGUCUGUGGGAAGCAGCGUCACUCUCAACUGCAGAUCCAGCAGUUCUAGUUUUACACAGAGUUUAGCCUGGUAUCACCAGAGACCCGGACAAACACCCAAACUCCUGUUCUCUAGUGUUGGCAGCAAAGUGUCUGGAGUUUCUGAGAGAUUCACUGAUGGGAGAUCAGGAACAAACUUCAUGCUCAAUAUCAGAAAUGUCCAGUCUGAAGACGCAGGAGAUUAUUACUGUCAACAGCAUUAUGAGACACCAUUAACACAGUGAUACGGAGCUGUACAAAAACCCCUUCAGUGAAAGAGGAACUACUGAUUUAGACACACACUACACACAUAUUACACUGUGACUGGACCCUGUUUUAAAAACUCUGAACACUUCAUAUCUCACAGCAAGAUACUUUUUUUCUUUUCACUAAUAGUUAAGAUUUAGAUUUGGCUAGGGGAUACUGAUCAUAGACCAAAACUAAUAAGUACAGCUUUAUCUCGGCUCUUUUAAACAAAAGCAUGCAGUGGAUUGAGCAAAACUUAUUCCACGAUCUUUAUUUGCAAUCUGAUGUCACACCAAAUAAAUGGUCAAUUAUCUUGGAAGACAUGAAAGCAGAGGAGCUGGGACUAAAGCAAACUCAAAAAGAUUCAUAAUUUAAUUCAUGGUUUUGUCCCUUUGGUUGUUUAACUGAAACUUAAGAACCACAAAACAAUCAUAGCCUGCCUUCUUUAAAACAAUUUUAUUGACAUUUAAUACCACUUUAAUGAAU